UCGUGAUGGCGUCUAUCAUGAAACCAGGCCAGCCGACACAAUCCCAAAACAAAUCGAUAUUUGAUAAUAAGGAUGUUUAAACUAUUAAUUUAUAAAAUUUCACAGUAUAAGUCUAAAUAACAAGUGCGGAAAGAACAAAGGCUUGACAUCGGGGUGUCACAUGUCAUGAGCAUCUACUAAGGAGUGUCUGAAUACAACUAAGACUAUCACAGCCUGGAAAAUACUAAUAUAGUCUAAGGAAGAUAAGAGGGAGAAGACCAAGGUUGCGAACGUCAUGCAGCUACCUUGCCGACUAUGAAUAUCCGCAACGGAUGAAAGAUCAGCAAUCGCUAUCACGUCCAGCAACUCAUAGAUCUGCACAUAAGGUGCAGGGAGUAAUGUGAGUAUGCCAACUCAGUAAGUAAUAAAAGAAAAUAAAGACUGAGUAGUAAGAAAUACAUAAAUCCACAUCAUGAAAUCAUAGUAAGUACAGCCUGCCUUCAACACAGAACAUAGUCAAAUCAUCUCAUUUAAAAAUCCAUUUUCAGUAAAAAUCAUUGAAGAUAUUUUUAGAACAAUUUCAACGUAGGUUCAAUGAAGUUUAGAGUAAAAGUGAUGAAAAUCAUAAAUAGCCCAUCGGGCAAAACAUGUAUCAUAAACCGUCCAUCGGGCAUAACAUCUCUCAGAAUCAGCCCCUCGGGCCACCUCACAAUCGCUCGUAAUCAGCCCCUCGGGCACAACAUGAAUCAAGAACAGCCCAUCGGGCAACAUCAUAUCAACCACUCAAGAUACUCGCUCUCACUGGGGUGUACAGACUCUGGAGGGGCUCCUACAGCCCAAGCGCUAUAACAAGCCAUCUCGUGGCAUAAUAAAUCAGGCUCUAGGCCUCUCUAAUAUCACAAAUCAGUAUAACAUGCUGCGGCGCACAGCCCGAUCCUAGGAUAUCCUCAAAACACAUGCCCUCGGCCUCACUCAGUCAGAAACCUCUCAAGCCACUCGGGCUAUCAAUAAAAUAGGGUGCUCAGCCCAAAAUAUCAUUUUAUGCAUCAAAACGGAGUAAAUGAGACUGAGUUAUGAAAUUAGUAAAAUAUAGCAUGAUUGAUUACCGAUCUUAAACCAAAAUAGUGAGGAAACAGUAGUAAAAAGCCCCUAAGGGUCCAACAGAUUGGCACGAGGCCCAAAUAUGGCAUUCAACCCAAAAUAUAGUACUACUUUCCAAAGCACAUAAGUAUCAAAUAGUUUUUAGUCAAAUAAGUAACUUAAUAGUCGCUACAGGACAGACCAGAUCACAAUCCCCAAUGGUGCACGCCCUUACGCUCGUCAUAUAUCUUGUGUGUUACCUCAUAAUAAUGAAACGAUGUAAAAUCCGGGGUUUCAUACCCUCAGGACAAGAUUUACAAUCAUUACUUACCUCAAACCGGACAAAGCUCUAACCCGCAAUGCC
rnacentral:lncRNA from 1 species